AAUAUACUGACAGCAGGGCGCAAACAAACGUAAAUUAACACCACCACCCUGAGCCAAAAAUUUAGCCAACCACCCCAAUCAAUUCAAAGAUAAACUAAAGCAUCUAACAAAUUUAGUAACGGCGAUUGAAAAAUUUACUAGAGCUACAAAUAUGUACCGCAAGGGAAAAAUGAAAUAACAAUGAAAAACCUUAAGCACAAAAAAGUAGAGCCUCAACCUCGUACCUUUUGCAUCAUGAUUUAACUAGUCAUUAAUAGGCAAAAAGACUUUCAGUCUAUCCCCCCGAAACCAAGUGAGCUACUUAGGGGCAGCUUAAUGAGCCCAUCCGUCUCUGUUGCAAAAGAGUGGAGAGACCCCACAGUAGCGGUGACAUACCUAACGAACCUGGUGAUAGCUGGUUGCCCAGAAAAAGAACAUUAGUUCCGCCCAAAGUUUUCGCAACCUAUGAAGUAACCACAAGACUUUGGAGUAACUCAAAUAGGGUACAGCCUAUUUGAAACAGGAUACAACCUAGAUUAACGGGUAAUUACGAACAUACAAACAACCCAGUAGGCCUAAAAGCAGCCACCAUAAAAAGCGUCAAAGCUUACUAACAUAACAAAAAUCCCACAAACAAUGCCGAACCCUUUCCCCACUACUGAGCGCUUCUAUACCAAUAUUGAACCUUUAAUGUUAAAACUAGUAACAAGAAACAAAUUUUCUCCUAAUGUAAACUUAAGCCAGACAGAACCCCACACUGACACUUAACGACUUUAAAGCCACAGUAACAACACCCAAGAAAAAUCUACUUCUUUUCCCGUCAAACUAACACAAGAACAUUAACAGAAAGAUUAAAAGAAGAAGAAGGAACUCGGCAAAUACAGAUCUCGCCUGUUUACCAAAAACAUCGCCUCUUGUAAUCAAUAAGAGGUCCAGCCUGCCCAGUGAUUUAUUCAACGGCCGCGGUAUCCUAACCGUGCAAAGGUAGCACAAUCACUUGUUUUCUAAAUAAAGACUAGUAUGAACGGCAUCACGAAAAUCUAACUGUCUCCUCCUUCUAAUCAGUGAAACUAAUCCCCCCGUGAAGAAGCGGGAAUACCCCUAUAAGACGAGAAGACCCUAUGGAACUUUAAAUAAAUAGCACACAACCCCCUCUUCCCAAGUUUCUAAACUUUAUCCCCCUCUUACCCGCUGUCUAUUAACUUUUCGGUUGGGGCGACCUUGGAGAACAACCCACCCUCCAAAUUGAGAAACAAAAACUUACAAUUUUAUGUAUCAACACAUUGACACCUAUUGACCCAGUAACCUGAUCAAUGAACCAAGCUACCCUAGGGAUAACAGCGCAAUCUUCUCCGAGAGCCCGUAUCAACGAGCAGGUUUACGACCUCGAUGUUGGAUCAGGGUAACCCAGUGGUGCAGUAGCUAUUAAA
rnacentral:rRNA from 1 species